rnacentral:rRNA from 1 species
GAUGAACGCUGGCGGCGUGUCUAAUACAUGCAAGUCGAGCGAACAGACGAGGAGCUUGCUCCUCUGACGUUAGCGGCGGACGGGUGAGUAACACGUGGAUAACCUACCUAUAAGACUGGGAUAACUUCGGGAAACCGGAGCUAAUACCGGAUAAUAUAUUGAACCGCAUGGUUCAAUAGUGAAAGACGGUUUUGCUGUCACUUAUAGAUGGAUCCGCGCCGCAUUAGCUAGUUGGUAAGGUAACGGCUUACCAAGGCAACGAUGCGUAGCCGACCUGAGAGGGUGAUCGGCCACACUGGGACUGAGACACGGUCCAGACUCCUACGGGAGGCAGCAGUAGGGAAUCUUCCGCAAUGGGCGAAAGCCUGACGGAGCAACGCCGCGUGAGUGAUGAAGGUCUUCGGAUCGUAAAACUCUGUUAUUAGGGAAGAACAAAUGUGUAAGUAACUAUGCACGUCUUGACGGUACCUAAUCAGAAAGCCACGGCUAACUACGUG